ensembl:lncRNA
GUUUCUUAACCACUGAGUAAUAUGGUUGCCUGAUGCAAAGUGAUGUAUAUACAGAAAAAAAUUUAAAAAUUAGCUAUAAAAUGAACAUAGUCAUGGCUGGGCGCGGUGGCUCACGCCUGUAAUCCCAGCACUUUGGAAGGCCGAGGCAGGUCGAUCACCUGAGGUCAGUUCAAGACCAGCCUGGCCAACAUGGUGAAACCCAUCUCUACUGAAAAAAAAAAGAAUUAGCCAGGCAAGGUGGUGUACGCUUGUAAUCCCAGCUACUCAGGAGGCUGAGGCAGGAGAAUCGCUUGAACCUGGGAGGCAGAGGUUGCUGUGAGCUGAGAUUAUGCAACUGUACUCCAGCCUGGGUGACAGAGUGAGACUCCAUCUCAAAAAAAGGAAAAGGAACAUAGUCAUGUCCUCUGUUCCUAGAGUUGUUUUGUGAAACACAAAUGGCUUGAUUGAUAUGUGUAGAGCACUGUGUGUAAGAGAAAGGCCUGGCCCCACGGUAAGCUUCUACAUUGUGAUUCUGUUUUUUGCAGAUGACUCAACCAGCAUCCACAAGUGAGGAUAACAGGCAUUGGUUACCUUCAAAUUUAAGAGAAGUUCAUCUCAGUCAGGAUUCAGAACAGAACUCCAGCCGCCCCGGGACCAUCAAGCAACCAGGCGUAGGUGCUCACUGAGACCACUGUCUUCACUGUUUUCCUGCAUUUUCUGCGAAUCACCGUUCAUCACAGGUUUUGACAACAGGAGUGUGAGCAAUGACAAAAAGGCCCGGAGAUUAAAAAGAUGCCUCUGCUGCUCCACAACAUGUCUCAGAAUCUCCUUUCUUGAAAUCACAGGUAACUGAUCACCUUACCAUUGCUAAAGUCUGUUUAAAAGCAGACUUAAAUUGCCAAUGGAGUCAACAGCAAUUAAUUUUACUAUACCCAACAUGAGAAGAACUGAUCAAAAUCCAUGUUUCUAAAGGUCUGACUACAAAAGCAAAUGAUUUAGGCACUGUUCCGUAUCAAGAAUCUUUCAUCAUAACCGUAGAAUAUUGUCUCUAUAAGCCUGUGAAAUGCCAUAGAAAACAUUGGAACAUAAAAUAGUUCCAAUCUAUUAUUUUUAGCAAAAUUAGUGGCAAUGUUUGCUGAUUCUUAGCAAGAUAAAUACCCGUAUCACCUAUGGUUAUUUCUUUCUAGUGUAAUAGUGGUGGGUGAUUGCUGAAGAUAACUUUUUUUUUUUCAAGCCAGAAACUUGAGGGAUCAACUUGUCUUCUCUUUAUCUGUCACAACUUCCUGUCUACCCUUUAACUUUCUCUCUCUGUCUCUCUCUCUCGACAAUUUGAUUGACUCUACAUUAUCACAGUCUUUGGAAUUUUUCAAUUUUAAUUCAUGCUUAUUGUACCUACCAUAUUUCAGAGCACCACCAUCAUUCUCUAAUGUUACCUAACUGGUCUCCUUGCCUUUCUUCUUGAAGCUUCUGCAGUUUAUUUCUGUAUUCAUCACAUGUUAAUCUUGUUUUUAAAUCAAUAAACAUUUUUAAAAAUAGUUUUAAAUUUACAGAAGAAAUGAGCAGAGAGUACAGAGAAUUCUCAUAUUCUCACCCCUGUCCCACAAUUUCUACAGUUAUGAAUAUUUUAUAGUCAUGUGGUUUGUUGUAAUAAACCAAUAUUGAUACAUUAUGAUGAACUAAAGUCCAUGAUUUAAAUUUGGAUUUGCUCUUUGUAUAUUACAGUUCUAUGGGCUUUCACAAAUGCAUGAUGUCAUGUAACCACCCCUUACAGUAUUAUACAGAGUAGUUUUACUGCUCUAGGAAUUUCCAGUUCUUUACUAACUUAUGUCACAGCCCCACUGUGAGCCCCCAGCAACCACUGAUUUUUUACUGCCUCUGUAGGUUUGACUUUCCUAUAAUGUCAUAUAAUUGGAAUCAUACAUUAUGCUGCCUUUUCAGACUGGCUUCUGUCACUUGGCAAUAUGCACGUAAGGUCCCUUCAUCUCCUUUCAUGGCUUGGU